rnacentral:rRNA from 1 species
GUUGGGUAGGGGAGCGUUCUGUAAGCCUGUGAAGGUGGCCUGUGAGGGUUGCUGGAGGUAUCAGAAGUGCGAAUGCUGACAUAAGUAACGAUAAAGCGGGUGAAAAGCCCGCUCGCCGGAAGACCAAGGGUUCCUGUCCAACGUUAAUCGGGGCAGGGUGAGUCGACCCCUAAGGCGAGGCCGAAAGGCGUAGUCGAUGGGAAACAGGUUAAUAUUCCUGUACUUGGUGUUACUGCGAAGGGGGGACGGAGAAGGCUAUGUUGGCCGGGCGACGGUUGUCCCGGUUUAAGCGUGUAGGUGUGUGUUCCAGGUAAAUCCGGUUCACUUUAACACUGAGGCGUGACGACGAGGCACUACGGUGCUGAAGCAACAAAUGCCCUGCUUCCAGGAAAAGCCUCUAAGCAUCAGGUAACACGAAAUCGUACCCCAAACCGACACAGGUGGUCAGGUAGAGAAUACCAAGGCGCUUGA